GGCUCAGGAUGAACGCUAGCUACAGGCUUAACACAUGCAAGUCGAGGGGCAGCACAAGGCAGCAAUGCUGAGGUGGCGACCGGCGCACGGGUGCGUAACGUCGUACUCCAACCUUCCCGUUACUCUUGGAUAGCCUUCCGAAAGGGAGAUUAAUACAAGAUGGUGUUGAAAUUCCGCAUGUUAUUUCAACUAAAGAUUUAUCGGUAACGGAUGGGGGAUGCGUGACAUUAGAUAGAUGGCGGGGUAACGGCCCACCAUGUCUACGAUGUCUAGGGGUUCUGAGAGGAAGGUCCCCCACACUGGAACUGAGACACGGUCCAGACUCCUACGGGAGGCAGCAGUGAGGAAUAUUGGUCAAUGGCCGGAAGGCUGAACCAGCCAAGUAGCGUGAAGGAUGAAGGUUCUAUGGAUUGUAAACUUCUUUUAUGAGGGAAUAAAACCUCCCACGUGUGGGAGCUUGUAUGUACCUUAUGAAUAAGCAUCGGCUAACUCCGUG
rnacentral:rRNA from 1 species